GGGCCAUAGCUUGGUGGUAGAAUAUUUGCUUUGCAUGCAGAAGGUCCCAGGUUCAAUCCCCAGCAUCUCCA